AGUUUGAUCAUGGCUCAGGAUGAACGCUGGCGGCGUGUCUAAGGCAUGCAAGUCGUAAGUUAAGUUCGCUUAGCUUGGCAAACGUGAGAGUAACACAUUGAUAACCUACCCUAAAGACGAGGAUAACCUUGCGAAAGCGAGGAUAAUACUUGAUAAUAAUAAAUAUCGUAUGAUAUUUAUUUAAAGCUCCGGUGCUUUAGGAUGGGUCUAUGUCCUAUCAGCUUGUUGGUAAGAUAAAAGCUUACCAAGGCUACGACGGGUAGCGGAUGUGAGAGCAUGAUCCGCCUCACUGGGACUGCGACACUGCCCAGACUCCUACGGGAGGCUGCAGUCAAGAAUCUUCCUCAAUGGCCUCAAGGCUGAAGGAGCGACGUCGCGUGCAGGAUGAAUCUCUUCGGAGUGUAAACUGCUUUUAUUAGGGACGAAGUUUUUAACUGACGGUACCUAAUGAAUAAGGGGCUGCCAACCUCGUGCCAGCAGCAGCGGUAACACGAGGGCCCCAAGCGUUAUCCGGAUUUAUUGGGCGUAAAGCGUCCGCAGGCGGUUUAAUACAUCUUCUGUUAAAUCUUUUGGCUCAACCAAAAGACUGCGGGAGAGAUGAUUAAACUAGAGGCCGGGAAAGGCAAAUGGAAUUGCCGGUGUAGGGGUUAAAUCCGUUAAUAUCGGCAAGAACACUAAAUGCGAAAGCAAUUUGCUAGAACGGUUCUGACGCUCAGGGACGAAAGCGUGGGGAGCGAAUGGG
rnacentral:rRNA from 1 species